rnacentral:rRNA from 1 species
GUAAUUCUAGAGCUAAUACAUGCUAAAAACCCCGACUUCGGGAGGGGUGUAUUUAUUAGAUAAAAAACCAAUGCCCUUCGGGGCUCUUUGGUGAUUCAUAAUAACUUAACGGAUCGCAUGGCCUUGCGCCGGCGACGGUUCAUUCAAAUUUCUGCCCUAUCAACUUUCGAUGGUAAGGUAUUGGCUUACCAUGGUUUCAACGGGUAACGGGGAAUUAGGGUUCGAUUCCGGAGAGGGAGCCUGAGAAACGGCUACCACAUCCAAGGAAGGCAGCAGGCGCGCAAAUUACCCAAUCCCGACACGGGGAGGUAGUGACAAUAAAUACUGAUACAGGGCUCUUUUGGGUCUUGUAAUUGGAAUGAGUACAAUUUAAACCCCUUAACGAGGAACAAUUGGAGGGCAAGUCUGGUGCCAGCAGCCGCGGUAAUUCCAGCUCCAAUAGCGUAUAUUAAAGUUGUUGCAGUUAAAAAGCUCGUAGUUGAAACUUGGGCCUGGCUGGCCGGUCCGCCUCACCGCGUGUACUGGUCCGGCCGGGCCUUUCCUUCUGGAGAGCCUCAUGCCCUUCACUGGGUGUGUUGGGGAACCAGGACUUUUACUUUGAAAAAAUUAGAGUGUUCAAAGCAGGCCUUUGCUCGAAUACGUUAGCAUGGAAUAAUAGAAUAGGACGUGCGAUCCUAUUUUGUUGGUUUCUAGGACCGCCGUAAUGAUUAAUAGGGAUAGUCGGGGGCAUCAGUAUUCAAUUGUCAGAGGUGAAAUUCUUGGAUUUAUUGAAGACUAACUACUGCGAAAGCAUUUGCCAAGGAUGUUUUCAUUAAUCAG